rnacentral:rRNA from 1 species
CCUACGGGAGGCAGCAGUAGGGAAUCUUCCGCAAUGGACGAAAGUCUGACGGAGCAACGCCGCGUGAGCGAAGAAGGUCUUCGGAUUGUAAAGCUCUGUUGUUAGGGAAGAACAAGUGCGGGAGGAAAUGACCGUACCUUGACGGUACCUAACGAGGAAGCCACGGCUAACUACGUGCCAGCAGCCGCGGUAAUACGUAGGUGGCAAGCGUUGUCCGGAAUUAUUGGGCGUAAAGCGCGCGCAGGCGGUCUUUUAAGUCUGAUGUGAAAACUUGCGGCUCAACCGCAAGCGGUCAUUGGAAACGGGGAGACUGUGGUGCAGAAGAGGAAAGCGGAAUUCCACGUGUAGCGGUGAAAUGCGUAGGGUGGUGGAGGAACACCAGUGGGGAAGGCGGCUUUCUGUCUGUAACUGACGCUGAGGCGCGAAAGCGUGGGGAGCAAACAGGAUUAGAUACCCGUGUAGUC